rnacentral:rRNA from 1 species
AGUGGCGAACGGGUGAGUAACGCGUGAGUAUCUGCCCUUAGGAGGGGGACAACAGUUGGAAACGACUGCUAAUACCCCAUAUGUCUACGGAUGAAAGAUUUUAUCGCCUGAGGAUGAGUUCGCGUCUGAUUAGCUAGUUGGUGAGGUAAAGGCUCACCAAGGCGACGAUCAGUAGCUGGUCUAAGAGGAUGAUCAGCCACACUGGGACUGAGACACGGCCCAGUCUCCUACGGGAGGCAGCAGUGGGGAAUUUUCCGCAAUGGGGGCAACCCUGACGGAGCAAUACCGCGUGCGGGAGGACGGCCUGUGGGUUGUAAACCGCUUUUCUCAGGGAAGAAGACCUGACGGUACCUGAGGAAUCAGCAUCGGCUAACUCCGUGCCAGCAGCCGCGGUAAUACGGAGGAUGCAAGCGUUAUCCGGAAUUAUUGGGCGUAAAGCGUCCGUAGGUGGUUAAUCAAGUCUGCUGUUAAAGAGCGGAGCUCAACUCCGUUUAAGCGGUGGAAACUGGUUGACUAGAGAGUGGUAGGGGUAGAGGGAAUUCCCAGUGUAGCGGUGAAAUGCGUAGAUAUUGGGAAGAACACCGGUGGCGAAAGCGCUCUACUGGGCCACAUCUGACACUGAUGGACGAAAGCUAGGGGAGCGAAAGGGAUUAGAUACCCC